AAGUCGUAACAAGGUUUCCGUAGGUGAACCUGCGGAAGGAUCAUUAACGAGUUAGGGUCUUCUUGGCCCGACCUCCCAACCCUUUGUUUACUGAACCUCUUGUUGCUUCGGCGGGCCCGUCUUACUUUAGACCGCCGGGGGACCGCCGAGAGGCGUCCUCUAGCUCGUGUCCGCCGAUGGCCAACUAAAAUUCUGAGAUAAAUCAUGAUCUUUAUGUCUAAGUCAAUUGAUUAAAUUAAGCAAAACUUUCAACAACGGAUCUCUUGGUUCUG
rnacentral:misc_RNA from 1 species